UACGAAGGGUGCAAGCGUUACUCGGAAUUACUGGGCGUAAAGGGCGCGUAGGCGGUCCUUCAAGUCAGGCGUGAAAGCCCCGGGCUCAACCUGGGAACCGCGCUUGAGACUGGCGGGCUAGAGUUCGGGAGAGGAUGGUGGAAUUCCCAGUGUAGAGGUGAAAUUCGUAGAUAUUGGGAAGAACACCGAUGGCGAAGGCAGCCAUCUGGACCGACACUGACGCUGAGGCGCGAAAGCGUGGGGAGCAAACAGG
rnacentral:rRNA from 1 species